UCUCUCUCUCUCUCUCUCUCUCUCUCGCUGUGUGGCAUUUUGGUGCGAGAGCUCCGUGUGAUCUCCGUUUGAUCGUUCUUUUUUAAGAAUUUCCGAGUGCCGUUCGGCAUCUGGGAGUUUCCGUGAAAAUCUGUCCCUCCUCCAGAAUGCCUAUGCCUGUCGAAUCCUCAGACCUGGCUGGAGAUCAUUAAUUAGGAGAAGAUAAUCCCGGAUCACUCGUCGGUCUUGCUGUAGGCGGGGAAAAACAUGUCGAGAUGCAGAUCGGUGCUAGAUCGAGUACCUCUCGUCGUCGUCGUCGUUGUUCAUCUCAGGUUUUUGAGGCAUUCUCGCGGCGAUCCGUGGUUCCGGAGUCCUUAUCCUGUUUCUCGAUGCCGAUGCUGUUGAUUCACGGCCGCGAUGACCUUCUCGAGUCUCCCCCUCUGGCCUUGCAG
rnacentral:lncRNA from 1 species